ACUGUUCCUGGAAGUAUUGCAAUACCAGGUCUAUGCGUGAAGUGGAUGGAGCAAGGUCCUAUUCUAUCUCCUAGUUCCAAAAAUCCAUUUAAUAUAUUGUCCUCGGAUAGAGGACAUAUCAAAUCAGAUUUAAGCCAAUUA